rnacentral:rRNA from 1 species
CUACGUGCCAGCAGCCGCGGUAAUACGGAAGGUCCAGGCGUUAUCCGGAUUUAUUGGGUUUAAAGGGAGCGUAGGCUGGAGAUUAAGUGUGUUGUGAAAUGUAGACGCUCAACGUCUGAAUUGCAGCGCAUACUGGUUUCCUUGAGUACGCACAACGUUGGCGGAAUUCGUCGUGUAGCGGUGAAAUGCUUAGAUAUGACGAAGAACUCCGAUUGCGAAGGCAGCUGACGGGAGCGCAACUGACGCUUAAGCUCGAAGGUGCGGGUAUCAAACAGGAUUAGAUACCCUGGUAGUCCGCACAGUAAACGAUGGAUGCCCGCUGUUGGUACCUGGUAUCAGUGGCUAAGCGAAAGCAUUAAGCAUCCCACCUGGGGAGUACGCCGGCAACGGUGAAACUCAAAGGAAUUGACGGGGGCCCGCACAAGCGGAGGAACAUGUGGUUUAAUUCGAUGAUACGCGAGGAACCUUACCCGGGCUUGAA